UACAGAGGGUGCGAGCGUUAAUCGGAAUUACUGGGCGUAAAGCGUGCGUAGGCGGCUUUGUAAGUCGGGUGUGAAAUCCCCAGGCUUAACCUGGGAACUGCAUUCGAGACUGCAUAGCUAGAGUAUGGGAGAGGGAAGUGGAAUUUCAGGUGUAGCGGUGAAAUGCGUAGAUAUCUGAAGGAACAUCAGUGGCGAAAGCGACUUCCUGGACCAAUACUGACGCUCAUGUGCGAAAGCGUGGGGAGCAAACAGG
rnacentral:rRNA from 1 species